rnacentral:rRNA from 1 species
CCCUUAGAUGUUCUGGGCUGCACGCGUGCUACACUGAUUACUUCAACAAGUGUUUUAACUGGAGAGUUUGCGUAAUCCUGAAAUGUUAUCGUGAGGGGAGUAGAGUAUUGUAUUUGUUAAUCUUUAACGAGGAAUUCCUAGUAAGUGUAGGUUUAUAAGUUGUUCUGAUUACGUCCCUGCCCUUUGUACACACCGCCCGUCGCUCCUACCGAUUGAUUGAUCCGGUGAAUUACAUAGAAUUUUGCGUUUUACAUGACGGAAGAUGAAGUGUUUUAAACCUUAUCAUUUAGAGGAAGGAGAAGUCGUAACA